rnacentral:rRNA from 1 species
GUUCGGUCCCUAUCUGCCGUGGGCGCUGGAGAACUGAGGGGGGCUGCUCCUAGUACGAGAGGACCGGAGUGGACGCAUCACUGGUGUUCGGGUUGUCAUGCCAAUGGCACUGCCCGGUAGCUAAAUGCGGAAGAGAUAAGUGCUGAAAGCAUCUAAGCACGAAACUUGCCCCGAGAUGAGUUCUCCCUGACCCUUUAAGGGUCCUGAAGGAACGUUGAAGACGACGACGUUGAUAGGCCGGGUGUGUAAGCGCAGCGAUGCGUUGAGCUAACCGGUACUAAUGAACCGUGAGGCUUAACCUUACAACGCCGAAGCUGUU